rnacentral:rRNA from 1 species
AGAGAGUGCGAGCGUUAAUCGGAAUUACUGGGCGUAAAGCGCACGUAGGUGGGCAUUUAAGUCGGAUGUGAAAGCCCCGGGCUUAACCUGGGAACUGCAUUCGAUACUGGAUGCCUAGAGUAUGGUAGAGGGAAGUGGAAUUUCCGGUGUAGCGGUGAAAUGCGUAGAUAUCGGAAGGAACACCAGUGGCGAAGGCGACUUCCUGGACCAAUACUGACACUGAGGUGCGAAAGCGUGGGGAGCAAACAGGAUUAGAGACCCUGGUAGUCCACGCCGUCAACGAUGAGAACUAGACGUUGGGAAGUUUAACUUCUUAGUGUCGUAGCUAACGCGUUAAGUUCUCCGCCUGGGGAGUACGGCCGCAAGGUUA